CUCAGCUUGAUAUGCAUAAUUGUCCUUGUUGUAGCUGUUUCUAAUAUAUGCCGCUUGGUUUAGUGUAUCUAUAACAGUCUUCAGUACCUCAAACAUAUGUUCUUGAGAAAACCUUUCUAGAAAAUGUAAAUGCUUUUUUCUGUGUUAUAUAUCUAUGCAUGUGAAAGGCUAACAUCCUUGGAAGUUGGAAGUAAGCAGCAUGGUUACAUCUCUGAGUUUGAAUUUGAAGUAUUUGAUUUCACUGCUUCAGUUAAUUAUCAAUACA
rnacentral:misc_RNA from 1 species